rnacentral:rRNA from 1 species
GAUGUUGGGUUAAGUCCCGCAACGAGCGCAACCCUCGUCCUAUGUUGCCAGCGGUCAUGCCGGGACUCAUGGGAGACUGCCGGGGUCGAACUCGGAGGAAGGUGGGGAUGACGUCAAAUCAUCAUGCCCUUAUGUCUUGGGCUUCACGCAUGCUACAAUGGCCGGUACAAAGGGCUGCGAUACCGCGAGGUGGACGCGGAAUCCCAGAAAGACCGGUCUCAGUUCGGAUUGGGGUCUGCAACUCGACCCCAUGAAGUCGGAGUCGCUAGUAAUCGCAGAUCAGCAACGCUGCGGUGAAUACGUUCCCGGGCCUU